UUGUGAAAACGGAUAGUCGCCGCUAUUCUUAGCGGAGGAAAGUCCGGACUCCGGGAGGGAAAAGUGCCAGAUAACGUCUGGCGGCGCGGCAAGUUCGCGCUAGGGAAAGUGCAACAGAAAAUAUACCGCCCUUCGGGGUAAGGUUGAAAUGGCGAGGUAAGAGCUCCCCGCGCAGCCGGCGACGGUUGCGGCAGUGCAAACCCCACUUGGAGCAAGAUCAAAUAGGAAUAAUAACGCCGUCCCUCCGGCAUGUUAUUCGGGUAGAUCGCUUGACGUUUGCGGCGACGCAAAUGCUAGAUGAAUGACUAUCGGGAUGAAUAUCUCACAGAAUCCGGCUUAUAGUUUUCACAGAAAC
rnacentral:RNase_P_RNA from 1 species